UUACACAUCAUACCACCCUGAACAUGCCAAUCUCGUCUGAUUCUGGAAGCUGAUCAGGGUCAGGCCUGGUUAGUACUUGGAUCGGAGAUCCUUGGAUUGUGUUGU
ensembl:rRNA 5S_rRNA 5S ribosomal RNA